rnacentral:rRNA from 1 species
CGAUUUUCGCAAUGCCCGAAAGGGUGACGAAGCGACGCCGCGUGUGGGAAGAAGGCCUUCGGGUUGUAAACCACUGUCGGGAGUUAAGAAAUGUAAGGAGGUUAAUAGCGUCCUUACUUGACUAAGGCUCCAGAGGAAGCCACGGCUAACUCUGUGCCAGCAGCCGCGGUAAUACAGAGGCGGCAAGCGUUGUUCGGAAUUAUUGGGCGUAAAGAGCACGUAGGCGGCCCUGAAAGUCAGUUGUGAAAGCCUUCUGCUUAACGGAAGAACAGCAUCUGAUACUCCAGGGCUAGAGUGCGGUAGGGGAGAGUGGAACUUCUGGUGGAGCGGUGAAAUGCGUAGAUAUCAGAAGGAACGCCGGCGGCGAAAGCGACUCUCUGGUCCGUAACUGACGCUGAGUGUGCGAAAGCUAGGGGAGCAAACGGGAUUAGAUACCCCGGUAGUCCUAGCCGUAAACGAUGGGCACUAAGUAGAGGGGUUUU